UGUGAGUGAUUCUUGUUAGGGGAAGAUGCAUAGUAAAGGAUGGUCCACCUAUUAAUUUACUCUUUUUAUGUUGGUGUAUGUCUGGUUUGAUAUUAUUGUUUAGUAAUGUAAGUUUGUGUAGUUUUAGUUAAGCUAAGUCUAUGUGCUGCUUAUAAGAGUUUUUGUGUGUUACAUUGAUAGGAAUAUUGUUGUAAUAUGGUAUUG
rnacentral:rRNA from 1 species